rnacentral:rRNA from 1 species
GAUGAACGCUAGCGGGAGGCCUAACACAUGCAAGCCGAGCGGUAUUGUUUCUUCGGAAAUGAGAGAGCGGCGUACGGGUGCGGAACACGUGUGCAGCCUGCCUUUAUCUGGGGGAUAGCCUUUCGAAAGGAAGAUUAAUACUCCAUAAUUUAUUGAACGGCAUCGUUUAAUAUUGAAAGCUCCGGCGGAUAGAGAUGGGCACGCGCAAGAUUAGCUAGUUGGUGAGGUAACGGCUCACCAAGGCGAUGAUCUUUAGGGGGCCUGAGAGGGUGAUCCCCCACACUGGUACUGAGACACGGACCAGACUCCUACGGGAGGCAGCGGUGAGGAAUAUUGGUCAAUGGGUGCAAGCCUGAACCAGCCAUCCCGCGUGAAGGACGACUGCCCUAUGGGUUGUAAACUUCUUUUGUAUAGGGAUAAACCUACCCUCGUGAGGGUAGCUGAAGGUACUAUACGAAUAAGCACCGGCUAACUCCGCGCCAGCAGCCGCGGUAACAC